rnacentral:rRNA from 1 species
GACGAACGCUGGCGGCGCGCCUAACACAUGCAAGUCGAGCGGAGACAGUGAGUAGCUUGCUAUGAGCUGUUUUAGCGGCGGACGGGUGAGUAACGCGUGAGCAACCUUUCCCAGACAGGGGAAUAACACACCGAAAGGUGUACUAAUACCGCAUAAGACCACGGGAUCACAUGGUUCUGGGGUAAAAGAUUUAUCGGUUCGGGGUGGGCUCGCGUCCGAUUAGGUAGUUGGUGAGGUAACGGCCCACCAAGCCGACGAUCGGUAGCCGACCUGAGAGGGUGAUCGGCCACAUUGGGACUGAGACACGGCCCAAACUCCUACGGGAGGCAGCAGUGGGGAAUAUUGGGCAAUGGAGGAAACUCUGACCCAGCAACGCCGCGUGGAGGAGAAGGUUUUCGGAUCGUAAAACUCUAUCAGCAGGGAAGAUAAUGACGGUACCUGACUAAGAAGCACCGGCUAAAUACGUG